AACUCUAGCGGUGGAUCACUCGGCUCGUGCGUCGAUGAAGAACGCAGCUAGCUCGAGAAUUAAUGUGAAUUGCAGACACAAUUGAUCAUCGACACUUCGACGCACUUGCGGCCCCGGGUCCUCCCGGCUACCCUCUGAGCGUCG
rnacentral:rRNA from 1 species